rnacentral:rRNA from 1 species
AGCGAACGCUGGCGGCGUGCUUAACACAUGCAAGUCGAACGUGAAAUGUAGCAAUACAGAGUAAAGUGGCGUACGGGUGAGUAACACGUGGGUAAUCUACCAAAGAGCCUGGAAUAACCGACCGAAAGGUUGGCUAAUACUGGAUAGUUCAAAUGAAAUAUAAUGUUUCGAUUGGGAAAGGGAGCGAGCAAUCGCCUUCACUUUUUGAUGAGCCCGCGUCUGAUUAGCUAGUUGGUAGGGUAAUGGCCUACCAAGGCGACGAUCAGUAGCUGGUCUGAGAGGAUGAUCAGCCACACUGGAACUGAAACACGGUCCAGACUCCUACGGGAGGCAGCAGUGGGGAAUCUUGCGCAAUGGACGAAAGUCUGACGCAGCCACGCCGCGUGAGUGAAGAAGGCCUUCGGGUUGUAAAGCUCUGUCGGAAGGGACAAAAACGUUUAAGGUUAAUAGCCUUAGAUCUUGAUGGUACCUUCAAAGGAAGCACCGGCUAACUUCGUGCCAGCAGCCGCAGUAA